rnacentral:rRNA from 1 species
AUGAGGAACUUGAAAGAUGAAAGAACCAAGAUUUUUCCCUCAACUAUGAGGGGAGGUAGGGAACUGCCAUCUAGCUUUGCACUUGAUUCACCUUCUGUUAUGACUAAAUUUGUGACACCUACACCUGCUCCUGCUAUUGAUUCUGAUAUGUCGCACGUUAUUGAUGAUGCCACUUCUGCUAUCCAUGAUGCUUAUGAUGAAACUACUUCUCUACUUGAUAAUACUGUGCCAUUAGGUGAAUUUCUUGAUGAACAACUUGCUAGGGUUAGAGAGAAUGAAAUUAUUGAAACUGAUAAUAUUGUUGAAAGUGAUGACGAAGAUUCUCCCCCUAGAUAUGAAUUUCCUGAUGUACCUGGGGGUUAUGUUAUGGAUGAAGAAACUGCUAGAGACUUUCUUGCUUGGAAUGAUAGAUAUGAUCUUAAGAAACUGUUAGCCAAGCUGAAAGAAAAGUCUUUGAAUGCUAGAACAAAAUAUGACCUUGCUUUUGCUACUUCACCUAUCUACGUUACUGAUAAGGAUUAUGAAUUCUCUAUCGAUCCUGAGUUAAUUACUUUGGUUGAAUCUGAUCCUUUUUAUGGCUAUGAAUCUGAAACUGUUGUGGCACAUCUUACUAAAUUGAAUGAUAUAGCCACCCUAUUUACUCAUGAGGCAAAAAUCGCUAUUACUAUAUCUUUAGAUUGUUUCCUUUCUCAUUAA